UAUCCUCACAGGCGCCUCAGAGGAAUAAGCAGUCAUUUUUCAGAAGACAGAAAAUGUGCUACUGAGGUGUGCCUCCUAACCUACAAUGAAAUCCAUAUAAAUCAUGGCAUCACAAAAAGGAAAACUAACAGUGAUUCCAACUAUAAGCUGCAAACUGAAAGCCUCAAUGGCUGAUCCUCCAAACUCUGCAGCCAGUUCGUAGUUGAGCUGCUCCUCACGUGGACAACUUUACACAUCGUGGUCCAAAGUUUGUGACAAUGCAAACAUACUUAUUUGAUGAUGGUAACUAGCAUAUUCUCAAGCAAAACAAGUGAUUACAGAGAGAACAGAUACUACUAGGGAAACACUGAUCAAAAGAAGAAAAGAGGGAAGCCCUGGAUAAAGAUAUAGUUUGUGAUUCUGUG
rnacentral:lncRNA from 1 species